rnacentral:rRNA from 1 species
UACGUAGGGUGCAAGCGUUGUCCGGAAUUAUUGGGCGUAAAGAGCUCGUAGGCGGUCUGUCGCGUCGUGCUGUGAAAACUCGGGGCUUAACCCCGGGCCUGCAGUGGGUACGGGCAGACGUAGAGUGCGGUAGGGGAGACUGGAAUUCCUGGUGUAGCGGUGAAAUGCGCAGAUAUCAGGAGGAACACCGGUGGCGAAGGCGGGUCUCUGGGCCGGUAACUGACGCUGGAGGUGACGAAAGCGUGGGGAGCAAACAGG